UACGUAGGGUGCAAGCGUUAAUCGGAAUUACUGGGCGUAAAGCGUGCGCAGGCGGUUAUGUAAGACAGAUGUGAAAUGCCCGGGCUUAACCUGGGAACUGCAUUUGUGACUGCAUGGCUAGAGUUUGGCAGAGGGGGGUAGAAUUCCACGUGUAGCAGUGAAAUGCGUAGAUAUGUGGAGGAACACCGAUGGCGAAGGCAGCCUCCUGGGCCAGCACUGACGCUCAUGCACGAAAGCGUGGGGAGCAAACAGG
rnacentral:rRNA from 1 species